rnacentral:rRNA from 1 species
UGAAUACGAGACGCUAAGGCGUCGAAGUAGUGUAUGUCAUACUUCCAAGAAAAGCUUGCACUGUCAUAGAUAAAAAACGCCUGUACCAUAACCGACACAGGUGGAUAGGUAGAGUAUACUAAGGGGCGCGAGAUAACUCUCUCUAAGGAACUCGGCAAAAUAACUCCGUAACUUCGGGAGAAGGAGUGCCUUAUUCGUAAGGUUGCAAUAACAAGAUCCAAGCAACUGUUUAUCAAAAACACAGGUCCCGCUAAGUCGUAAGACGAUGUAUGGGGGCUGACGCCUGCCCAGUGCCAGAAGGUUAAAGAAGUUGGUUAGCAAUUGCGAAGCUGAUAACUGAAGCCCUGGUGAACGGCGGCCGUAACUAUAACGGUCCUAAGGUAGCGAAAUUCCUUGUCGGGUAAGUUCCGACCCGCACGAAAGGCGUAAUGAUUUGGAUACUGUCUCGGAGAGGGGCUCGGUGAAAUAGACUUGUCUGUGAAGAUGCGGACUACCUGCACCAGGACAGAAAGACCCUAUGAAGCUUUACUGUAACUUGAAAUUGAAAUUGGACUUUAUUCGCGCAGUAUAGGUGGGAGGCGUUGAUUAUAAUCUUGUGGGAUUAUUGGAGCCAUCAGUGAGAUACCACUCUUGUAAUGUUAGAUUUCUAACUUUGAAUCAUUAUCUGGUCAAAGAACAGUUUCAGGCGGGCAGUUUGACUGGGGCGGUCGCCUCCUAACGGUAACGGAGGCGUACAAAGGUUUCCUCUGAACGGUUAGAAAUCGUAUCUAGAGUGUAAAGGCAUAAGGAAGCUUGACUGUGAGACCUACAAGUCGAGCAGGGACGAAAGUCGGUCUUAGUGAUCUGACGGUACUGAGUGGAAAGGCCGUCACUCAACGGAUAAAAGUUACUCUAGGAUAACAGGCUGAUCUCCCCCAAGAGUUCACAUCGACGGGGAGGUUUGGCACCUCGAUGUCGGCUCAUCGCAUCCUGGGGCGGUAGUACGUCCCAAGGGUUGGGCUGUUCGCCCAUGAAAGCGGUACGCGAGCUGGGUUCAGAACGUCGUGAGACAGUUCGGUCCAUAUCCGGUGUAGGCGUUAGAAUAUUGAGAGGAGCCUUCUUUAGUACGAGAGGACCGAGAAGGACAUACCUCUGGUGUACCAGUUAUCGUGCCAACGGUAAACGCUGGGUAGCUAUGUAUGGAGUGGAUAACCGCUGAAGGCAUCUAAGUGGGAAGCCCACCUCAAGAUAAGUAUUCUCA